GAUGGUAGCUGUCCUGCAGGGUCAGCAACAGUAUUCCUUUCGUGCUAAAAAAGUCCAGGAAAAGGCUACAAUAGCCAGCUAUGAGGUCGCCCAACUCAUCGCAAGACAUGGCAAGCCUUUUUCAGAUGGAGAGCUCAUAAAACAAUGCCUCGUUAAAGUCGCCGAAACGAUGUGCCCUGAAAAAGUGCAGGACCUCAACAACGUCAGCAUGUCCAGAAAUACAGCGUGCGACGCAUUGAAGACUGGUCAGCCAACGUUAAACUGCAACUGUCUGAUAAAGCUUGUGCUUUUGAUUUUACUCUUUGAUUUUAAAGCACUGAUGCCACAGACACCGCACAGCUGCUCAUUGUUUUUGCGGGGAGUGGAUGAGAUCUUUGGAGUUACAGAGGAGCUGCUCGAUCUUCGAGUCUAAAAGGCGCAACGACUGGUAUGGAUAUUUUUGAAGCGGUGUCAGACUCAACUGACUAAAUGGGACUUAAUGGGACAAGCUGUGUGGAGUCGGGGCUCCAGCUGUGGCAGGUGCACACACAGGAAUGGCCUCUAUGAUGUGCUGUAAGGUGACAGAGGCUGGAGGUGAGGCUUUUAAAAUGCACUGCGUUGUUCACCAAGAGGCCCUUUGUGCCAAGACAGUCAAUCUUGGAGAUGUAAUGAACAAAGUUGUGUCAACAUGAUUCGAACAAGGCGACUGUGCCACAGAGAAUGUCCGGCUUUCCUUUCUGAUGUCGAUGCUGAAUAUGGGGAUCUACUCUAUGUGGAUGUGCGCUGGCUAAGCCGCGGCGCCGUGCUGAAGCGUUUUUACUCCCUGAGGACAGAAAUUGACCAGUUUUUGAAGAAGGACCGACCUCUUCAUGAGCUGAAUGACCCUCUAUGGUUGGCAGACCUCGCAUUUUUAGUUGAUCUGACUGAUCAUCUAACCACCCUGAACAAGAGCAGCUUGUACCACAACUUUAUGCGCACAUGAACGCAUUUUGUGUGAAGCUCAAUCUCUUUAAGACACAACUGCGCAACUUCAACGCUGUGCACUUCCCCACGCUGUCCGAGAUCAGAGCUGCUUAUCCACAGGCCAGCCUUUCUGCUAAAAAGGGAAAGAUGUGUCUGUGAUUACAUGGCUCGAAACGGAAUUCACACAGCGCUUCCAGGAUUUUUCUGUCAUUGAAAAAGAAAUCAAGCUAUUCGCGUCUCUUUUUUUGGUGGAUCCCGAAGACGUGGAAGAGAAUCUGCAAUUAGAAAUCCUGUGUGAUGAUUCGCUGAAGCAUCAACUUCAGCAGCUUUCCCUCCCUGAGUUCUACCGGGGCUUGGAAAAGGAAAAGUUUCCUCUGACGAGACGCCACGCGGAAAAAAAUGACCAGUCUAUUUGGCGCAACAUACACAUGUGAGCAAACAUUUUCGCUGUUAACACUGAACAAAGGCAGACUGAGAACCAAAAUGACCGACAGCCAUCUCCAUUAUGUCCUUCGCAUCUCAACCACUAAGUUUACUCCAGACCUGCCAGCCAUCCUUCGGUCCAAAGCGCAGCAGCACUGCUCCCACUGAGUGCAAUGUCGUUCCCACUUUAGAGUACAAAGUCAGCUGAUCUCAUCUGAUGCAGAUGUGCUACUUGAUCAAGUUACAUCUGUCCGGAUUUUUGGCACAAGUGGCGUCGGAUCAGCACCGCAGCUGGAUGGCCCGAUUUACACACCCCACGCAGCUGAUACCAGAAUAAUUUACUAAAAUGAUAUGCACUCCUGUUAUUAAGUCCAGUUCAGUCUGUUAAUGUUGAUAACCGUUUCAAACGAAUGUUAAUAACUUAAAGAACGAGCUUAUGGACCCGUCCCAUUUCCCAUUUAUUUUUUCUCUGUACUGUAAAUCUUCUAAGACGAAAUCUGAGGCUGCUGUUCUCAGAAAAAAACUACCAGUUUUUUAAAUAAAUCAAUAAAGAUCCAUUUAUGGAAA